rnacentral:rRNA from 1 species
ACAUGCCUACAACAUAGAACUAAUGCAUCGGAUCCCAUUAAAACUCCACAAUUAAGCACACUCGGGCUAUAUUAGUACUGGGAUGGGUGACGCCCGGGAAGUCCCAGUGUUUUACAUGCC